rnacentral:rRNA from 1 species
CCUACGGGAGGCAGCAGUGAGGAAUAUUGGUCAAUGGACGAGAGUCUGAACCAGCCAAGUAGCGUGAAGGAUGACUGCCCUAUGGGUUGUAAACUUCUUUUAUCUGGGAAUAAAAUGUUCCACGUGUGGGAUUUUGUAUGUCCCAUAUGAAUAAGGAUCGGCUAACUCCGUGCCAGCAGCCGCGGUAAUACGGAGGAUCCGAGCGUUAUCCGGAUUUAUUGGGGUUAAAGGGAGCGUAGGUGGAUUGUUAAGUUAGUUGUGAAAGUUUGCGGCUCAACCGUAAAAUUGCAGUUGAAACUGGCAGUCUUGAGUACAGUAGAGGUGGGCGGAAUUCGUGGUGUAGCGGUGAAAUGCUUAGAUAUCACGAAGAACUCCGAUUGCGAAGGCAGUUCACUGGACUGCAACUGACACUGAGGCUCGAAAGUGUGGGUAUCAAACAGGAUUAGAUACCCCUGUAGUC